rnacentral:rRNA from 1 species
GACGAACGCUGGCGGCGUGCUUAACACAUGCAAGUCGAACGGUGAAGCGCCUUCCUUUUUGGUGGGUGUGGAUGAGUGGCGAACGGGUGAGUAACACGUGAGUAACCUGCCCCCUUCUUCUGGAUAACCGCAUGAAAGUGUGGCUAAUACGGGAUAUUCUGGGUCUGUCGCAUGAUGGGUCUGGGAAAGAUAUUGUUUCGGUGGGGGAUGGGCUUGCGGCCUAUCAGCUUGUUGGUGGGGUGAUGGCCUACCAAGGCGGUGACGGGUAGCCGGCCUGAGAGGGUGGACGGUCACACUGGGACUGAGACACGGCCCAGACUCCUACGGGAGGCAGCAGUGGGGAAUAUUGCACAAUGGGCGCAAGCCUGAUGCAGCGACGCCGCGUGAGGGAUGGAGGCCUUCGGGUUGUGAACCUCUUUCGCCAGUGAAGCAGGCCUGCCUCGUUUGUGGGUGGGUUGACGGUAGCUGGAUAAGAAGCGCCGGCUAACUACGU